rnacentral:rRNA from 1 species
UACGGAGGGUGCAAGCGUUAUCCGGAUUCACUGGGUUUAAAGGGUGCGUAGGUGGGCAGGUAAGUCAGCGGUGAAAUCCCCGAGCUUAACUUGGGAACUGCCAUUGAUACUAUCUGUCUUGAAUACCUUGGAGGUGAGCGGAAUAUGUCAUGUAGCGGUGAAAUGCUUAGAUAUGACAUAGAACACCAAUUGCGAAGGCAGCUCACUACACGGUCAUUGACACUGAGGCACGUAAGCGUGGGGAUCAAACAGG